GAUCAUGGCUCAGGAUGAACGCUGGCGGCGUGCCUAACACAUUCAAGUCGAACGGAGUUAUCGGAUUAAUCCUUCGGGAAGCGUCUGAGAAGCUUAGUGGCGGACGGGUGAGUAACGCGUGAGCAACCUGCCUUUGCAACCGGGAUAACAGUUGGAAACGACUGCUAAUACGGGAUGACGUACACGGGUCGCAUGUCCUGUGUACCAAAGAUGCGUCGUGCAAAGAUGGGCUCGCGU
rnacentral:rRNA from 1 species